rnacentral:rRNA from 1 species
UUGAACGCUGGCGGCGUGCCUAACACAUGCAAGUCGAGCGGUAACAGGUGUAGCAAUACAUGCUGACGAGCGGCGGACGGGUGAGUAACGCUUGGGAAUCUGCCUGUUAGUGGGGGGACAACCCGGGGGAAACUCGGGCUAAUACCGCAUGACAUCCUGCUUUUGGAAAAGCGGAGAUCAAAGCUGGGGAUCGCAAGACCUGGCGCUUGAAGAGGGGCCCCGCGCCUGAUUAGCUAGUUGGUGAGGUAAUGGCUCACCAAGGCGACGAUCAGUAUCCGGCCUGAGAGGGCGGACGGACACACUGGGGACUGAGACACGGCCCAGGACUCCUACGGGAGCAGCAGUGGGGAAUUGUUCGCAGUGGGCGCAAGCCUGACGACGCAACGCCGCGUGGAGGACGAAGAUCUUCGGGUCGUAAACUCCUGUCGAGCGGGAAGAAACUCAUCGGGUG